CGACAGCGAUAUGAAGGUCAGGCUGAAGACCUUACCCGAUUAGCUGAGAGGUGGUGCAUGGCCGUCGUCAGUUCGUACUGUGAAGCAUCCUGUUAAGUCAGGCAACGAGCGAGACCCACAUCCACAGUUGCCAGCAUAUUCUCCGGAAUGAUGGGUACACUGUGGAGACCGCCGCUGCUAAAGCGGAGGAAGGAGUGGGCAACGGUAGGUCAGUAUGCCCCGAAUCUCCCGGGCUACACGCGGGCUACAAUGGUUGGUACAAUGGGCAUCUACCCCGAAAGGGGAAGGUAAUCUCUUAAAACCAAUCGUAGUUCGGAUUGAGGGCUGCAACUCGCCCUCAUGAAGCUGGAAUCCGUAGUAAUCGCGUUUCAACAGAACGCGGUGAAUACGUCCCUGCUCCUUGCACACACCGCCCGUCAAACCACCCGAGUAGGGUCUGGAUGAGGGUGUGUUAUUUUGACACAUUCGAAUCCGGGCUUUGCAAGGGGGGUU
rnacentral:rRNA from 1 species